GAAAAAUUAGCGGUUGAGUCUACAAUUAACCCUCUGGGAGCUGUUCAUCAUGCCUUACCGAGGGAAAAUGGAAGUGGGGGUGCUUUGGAAUCUCAGUUAUGCUCUCAUUCAUCAGAAGCAGAAAGUACUGAGAGAGUUGCUGUGACAGAUCGUUAUGUUUCCAGCAAUGAUAAUCAGUCGAAAGCAAUGUUGACAGAUAAAGCUUCUG
rnacentral:misc_RNA from 1 species